AUGCACGGCCAGCUCAACGGCUUCCACGAGGCGUUCAUCGAGGCGGGCACCUUCCUCUUCACCUCCAAGUUCAUGGAGGAAGGCCACCCAAAUAAGAUCUGUGACCAGAUCAGCGAUCUGUCCUUGAUGCCCACCUUCAGCAGGAUCCUGAUGCCAAAUGGCUUGCGAAACUGUUGCUAAGACCGGAAUGAUCCUUCUUGCUGGAGAAAUUACAUCCAGAGCUGCUGUUGACUACCAGAAAGUGGUUCGUGAAGCCAUUCAACACAUUGGAUAUGAUGAUUCAUCCAAAGGGUUUGACUACAAGACUUGUAAUGUGUUGGUGGCCCUGGAGCAGCAGUCACCAGAUAUUGCCCAAGGUGUUCAUCUUGACCAGAAUGAAGAAGACAUUGGCGCUGGAGACCAGGGCUUGAUGUUUGGCUAUACCACUGAUGAAACUGAGGAAUGUAUGCCUUUAACCAUUGUCUUGGCACACAUGCUCAAUGUCAAACUGGCAGAACUGCGCCGCAAUGGCACUUUGCCUUGGUUACGCCCUGAUUCGAAAACUCAAGUGACCGUGCAGUAUAUGCAGGAUCGAGGUGCUGUGCUUCCUAUUAGAGUCCACACAAUUGUUAUAUCUGUUCAGCAUGAUGAAGAAGUUUGUCUCGAUGAGAUGAGGGAUGCCCUAAAGGAAAGGGUCAUCAAAGCUGUGGUGCCUGCAAAAUAUCUCGAUGAGGACACAAUCUACCAUCUGUAGCCUAGUGGCAGAUUUAUUAUUGGUGGGCCUCAGGGUGAUGCUGGUUUGGCCAGAAAAUCACUGUGGACACUUAUGGCGGCUGGGGAGCUCAUAGAGGAGGUGCCUUUUCGGAAAAGGAUUAUACCAAGGUGGACCUUUUCGCUGCUUAUGCUGCUCGUUGGGUGGCAAAGUCCCUUGUUAAAGAGGUCUGUGCAGGAGGGUUCUUGUUCAGGUCUCUUAUGCUAUUGGAGUUUCUCAUCCAUUGUCUAUCUCCAUUUUCCAUUAUGGUACAGAAGAGUGAGAGAGAGCUAUUAUGAAGAAGAAUUUUGAUCUCCACCCUGGGGUCAUUGUCAGGGAUCUGGAUCUGAAGAAGCCAAUUUAUCAGAGGACUGCAACCUAUGGCCACUUUGGUAGGGACAGCUUCCCAUGGGAAUUGCCCCAAAAGCUUAAAUAUUGAAAGUGUUAGCCUUUUUCCCUCAGACUUGUUGGCGUAGGCUACAGAGAAGCCUUUAAGCUCUGAGGGAAGGGGCCCUUCUUGUUAAAUUUUCCUGUUCUCUUUCAGCUCCUGAUCAGUUGCAGUCACUCUAGUCAAUGACAUGAAUUUUAGCUUUCGUGAGGGACAGUAAGUUGGGCUUGCUAUUCUGUCCCUAGGUGUUUUGUUCACCAUUAUGAUGAAUUUAGUGAGCAUAGGUGAUCCAUGUAACUGCCUAGAAACAAACAACACUGUAGUAAGUGAUGCUUUGAGAUUGAACCUUUGUGCCCUAUCACCCAAUACACCAAAGUCCUAAUUACAUUGACUUUCCCACCAAUGCUGAAAAAAUGUCCUUGUAACGUGCAUGUAAAGUACUUGUAGUUCCACUAUAGCCUGCCUGGCAAUGCCACAGCCCUGUCAGCAUGAGUUUGUAAUGUCUUGAGCUCUAUUAUGAAUGUGAAGCCCUCCCCUUAUGCUCCCUGUAACUUGACCCCAUUUCUAAUUAUGUAGCUUUGUCAGGGAGUGUUCCCUAUCCAAUCAGUCUUGCAUGUAGCACAAGUUUCCAGUUGGAGCUCUAGCCUGACAUCAAAAAAAGGCAGUUACCAUCAAACCACCUCCCUGCGCUAUGAUCUGAAUGCACUUAAAGCCAA